AGCUCAGCUGGACCCCCGGGUCAUAUCAAUACGACUAUACCAAGACUAAAGGAGCUUGAUUUGACUGGAAACCUGCUUUCUGAUUGGAAGGAAAUUGCUGCAAUCUGUAAAGAGUUACCAGCUCUUGUAACUCUGAACUUAUCAUACAACAGCAUGUCUCACGAUAUAAGUGGGAUGCCCCUGCUAAAUCACAUCAAAGUUGUUGUUUUGAGCCACACCGGUAUAGGCUGGG
rnacentral:misc_RNA from 1 species